rnacentral:lncRNA from 1 species
GAGUUCUAUAAUGCCCCAUCAUGGGAUCACUCAACCAGAGUGUAAAUUAUAAUACUGAAGUUAGUGUAUGUGAGGUCCUUGAGGGUAGGAUCCACAUCUCCUUGGCUUUCCCUAAUGUCCAUGUGGAUCCCGAACACCUAGCCCAAGCCUGGCCUCUGGGAGACAUGUUUAAAUUAUCAACCUAUCCCUUAAUUUUGAAAGCCUGGAAUAUGAAAAAAAAGCCAAUGCUGCAACAUCUCUUUCGUUGGACUCAGUAGACUUUGAAAACCAAUUUGUAUGUUC